rnacentral:rRNA from 1 species
UACGGAGGGGGCUAGCGUUAUUCGGAAUUAUUGGGCGUAAAGGGCGCGUAGGCGGCUAUUCAAGUGGCGGGUGAAAUCCCUCGGCUUAACCGAGGAACUGCCUGCCAGACUGGAUGGCUUGAGACCGGGAGAGGUGAGUGGAAUUCCCAGUGUAGCGGUGAAAUGCGUAGAUAUUGGGAGGAACACCAGUGGCGAAGGCGGCUCACUGGACCGGUACUGACGCUGAGGCGCGAAAGCGUGGGUAGCAAACAGG